AUACGGAGGGUGCAAGCGUUAUUCGGAAUCACAGGGCGUAAAGGACGCGUAGGCGGGUUGGCAAGUCAGAUGUGAAAUCCUACAGCGUAACUGUAGAACUGCAUUUGAAACUGCUAACCUAGAGUAUGGGAGGGGGAGAUGGAAUUAGUGGUGUAGGGGUAAAAUCCGUAGAUAUCACUAGGAAUACCGAAAGCGAAGGCGAUCUCCUGGAACAUAACUGACGCUAAGGCGUGAAAGCGUGGGGAGCAAACAGGAUUAGAAACCCUUGUAGUCC
rnacentral:rRNA from 1 species